AUGAACGAGGCUCACAACUCUCUCCUCUCCAUCCACCCUGGUAGUACGAAGAUGUAUCAGGACCUCAAGCAAGCCUAUUGGUGGACUCGAAUGAAGCGCGAGAUCGCUCAAUUCGUGAAUGAAUGUGAUGUCUGCAGAAGAGUGAAGGCAGAACAUCAAAGGCCAGCUGGUCUCCUCCAACCUCUUGCCAUUCCAGAAUGGAAGUUUGACCACAUUGAAAUGGACUUCGUGACUGGGUUUCCAAAGUCCAAGCGUGGCAAUGAUGCUAUAUUUGUUGUCAUCGACAAGCUCACCAAAGUGGCUCAUUUCCUGCCUAUCAAAGAGUCAAUCACUGCAGCUCAAUUGGCGGAACUCUAUACCUCUCGCAUUGUCUCUCUGCACGGUAUUCCUCAAGUGAUAUCUUCAGACCGUGGCAGCAUCUUUACCUCCAAAUUUUGGGAUUCUUUUCAGAAGGCCAUGGGCACCAACAUCCGCUUCAGCACAGCUUUCCAUCCUCAAACAAGCGGUCAAGUCGAGCGUGUCAACCAAAUUCUUGAAGAUAUGCUCAGGGCUUGUGUGAUCUCCUUCAGCAUGAAGUGGGAGGAUUGUCUUCCUUAUGCUGAAUUCUCAUACAACAACAGCUUUCAAGCAAGUUCGGGCAAGGCCCCCUUUGAAAUUCUGUAUGGCAGGAAGUGCCGUACCCCUCUCAACUGGUCGGAAACCGGUGAACGUCAGCUGCUGGGUAAUGACUUAAUCACAGAAGCAGAAGAGAUGUGCAAAGUCAUUCGUGAUAACCUCAAAGCAGCCCAGUCCCGCCAGAAGAGCUACUAUGAUAGUAAGCACCGUGAAUUAGCUUUCGAGAUCGGAGAUCAUGUUUACCUCCGCGUCUCUCCCAUGAAAGGUUCUCGUCGCUUCGGUAUCAAAGGGAAGCUUGCCCCUAGAUACGUGGGACCUUUCAAGAUUGUCAGCAAGAGAGGCGACCUCGCCUAUCAACUCGAGCUUCCUUCAAACUUUGCAAAUGUUCAUGAUGUGUUCCAUGUCUCUCAGCUUCGGAAGUGCUUCAAGACUCCUGACCGCACCGUCAACUUCGAGGACAUUGAGCUCCAAGAAGAUCUCUCUUAUCGUGAGCACCCAGUUGCUAUUCUUGAAGAGACUGAACGCAAGACUCGCAACAAGUCAAUCAAAUUCCUCAAAGUUAAGUGGUCACACCAUUCCGACCGUGAAGCUACCUGGGAACGCGAGGAUCACCUCCGUUCUGAGUAUCCGGAGUUCUUUCAGUCCUAG
rnacentral:rRNA from 1 species